rnacentral:rRNA from 1 species
AUGUUUCUUUGUACACAGUCACACCAAGGCCAGUUGGAAUGCAGGGACUCUUACGGUUACGGUGGUACUGCCCGCCCCUUCGCACGCAACACCAGCCGGCGGUUGCCGCCUUGCACUUGCAGUUGCACUCCCCGCCGCAUUCUUCUUUCCCUCCCUCCACGACCAUCUCCAGCAACCGAACGAAACGCAUCCCUCCACGUCCAAAGCGGAAGCAAAUCCAUGGCGAACCGGGCCGCGCUCUCGCCGCGCCCGAUCCUAGCCAUCUCCCUCCUCCUGUGCCUGGCGCCGCUGCGCCCCACGGCCGCGCAGGAGCAAUGGCCGCAAUACCCCAUCACGCCGCGGCCGGCGUUCAUGUUCCGAUGGGUGGACGACAACGGGUCGUUCCGGGCCGGCGACACCGCGACCGUCAUGAUCACCUCUUUCUACAUCCCCGACGCCAACGUCUCCGAGGUGCGGCGCAAGGCGGCCUUCAAGGUCACCCUGCACGGCCACGGCGACAAGGCCGGCAACAGCAGCUACCUCACCGACGUCGCCGUGCACCUCGAGGGCGACCUGCCGUCCUGGAACAUCACCCUCGUGCCCUUGCGGGCCGGGGACUUCGUCGCGCUCUUCGAGGAGGAGCGGUUCUUCCUCGGCGUGGACACGCUCAACUUCGCCGUCGCCGCCCGGGACGUGAGCCCGUCCGCCUCCCUGGCCUCCUGGACGCACCUCGGCGGCCGCCGCGUCGCCGCCGGGUCCAGGGCGUUCGUGUCUGUCUUCCCCAGGGACGCGCUCGGCAACGGCCUCCCGCGGGGAGCCGACAUGCCCUUCGGCAACUGGUACUUCGCCGUGUCCUGGUCCUACGUCAACGGGACGCCCGUCCAGUUCUCGGGCCUCGAGUACAACGGCUGGACGGAGGACGCGUGCAUGAGCAUCGAGUUCGUGCCGACUCUCGCCGGGGACUUCCUGGUGCACGUUCAUGCCGACAACACCAAACUGCGCGGCUCGCCAUUGCCGCUCACAGUGAAGCCAGGACUCAUCGACAUUGCGAAAAGCACGGCCGAGUGGAAGCAUGGAACGAACGCCGUGCAGAUAUUCUCCAAGCUGGAGAUCUUCAUAAACCAGAGGGAUUCGUUCGGAAACCUCGUCCCGGGGAUCCACUCAUUCGAUGCUGCGGUGGUGGAGAGCGCCUCAAGGCUGUCGGUCCCGGUAGGGGGGCUCCGGAUCGAAGCUGUCGCCGAGGGAAUCCAGCGGCUCUCCUUCGACGUCGUGGAGCCCGGGGAGUUUGUGCUCACAAUCUUUGAAACUCACCUCAAGCAGAGGCUUUCCGAUACGGUGUACGUGUAUCAUGUCUUUGUAGGGUAUUGCGACGGAUCGAAAAGCAUUGUUAAUGGUUCUGGUUUGGUGCAAUCUGUUGCUGGCUCACCAUCAUCAUUCAUGGUUUACCUGGUGGAUCAGUAUGGAAGCCCUUCUCCGAUUGAUACCAAAAUGCUGCGAGUGCAAAUUCUGAGCAGAAAUGGCACGUCUGGUGUAAACCCAGUUAUAACACCUGUAAGAGAACCAAAUGAGACGAUAUCCACGGAUGGACAAACAAGUAAUUUCAAUGUCUCGUAUGCUCCUGAAAUUGCCGGCGAGUAUGAAAUUUGGGUGUUGUGUGGGAACGUAGCGCUGAAUGAUGGAAAACCCUAUAACAUGACAGUCUCACCAGGUGCAGUUGACACAUCUUUAUCAACCGCUCCAAUAUUUGAUCCAAAAGCCAAAAGAUCAGUCAGAAACAAUGUAACCGUUCGACUUGUCGACUCAUUCAUGAACCCAGUGGUAUCUCUGGAGCCCAAACUGAGGCUUCAGCUAACAUCUGCAAAUGUAACGGCCCCGAUGAACGCGUCAAGUUUCACCGCGGGGGAAUUUGUCAACAACAGAGAUGGAUCAUAUACUGCUCAUUAUGUGGCUAGGUAUCUUGGUUUAUAUGGCAUGUGCAUUCUGUUUGACAGCAGGCAGCUGGCUCCUUGUCCAUUCCAGGUCCUUGUUCUUCCCGACGAAUACUUCUCUGAAGUUCGGGAAGAUCACAUUUCAGUUUGGGAGGAUGAAUCUGUUUCCUUUGAUAUCUUGUCAAAUGACUACAUUGCAGUAGGACUAGCUGACGUAGUUAAUUUAUCUUCACCACUCCAUGGAGCAGUCCUACAGUACAACCCGGGCUAUCGCUACACACCUUUUGAACGGUUUUUUGGGAAUGACUCCUUUUCAUACACAGUAUCUGAUAAGCAUGGCAACGUUGUCAGUGGCACAGUGUUCAUAUCUGUUCUGUGCAGACCACCUCAGUUCAUCUCUUUGCCCAAACAACUGCAUGUUACAGAAGAUAUAAUUGGCCCAAAGUUUGGCGGGUUUCCGGGGAUUGAAAUGACAUAUUCAGACACAUCAGAGAACAUAUCGGUUACAGUGAGAGCGCAGCACGGCAAUGUUCUUCUUGCUCCAGUGCCAAUGAAACUUCAACAUCUAUUAGAUGAUACGCUUUCAAUCAGCAGGGUAGGCAGGUCUAGCCAAGCCUUGAAAAUACAAGGGGUGGUGGAGGAAAUAAAUGGAGCGCUAAAAUAUCUUCAGUAUAUCGGAAACCAAGACUUCUACGGAGAUGAUGUUAUAAUGCUAUAUGCGAGGAACAGGAAUGGUAGGCAUCGUGAUGAGUUACACGUCUCCGUGGAGCCGGUCAAUGAUCCUCCGGUUAUACUGGCUCCGAAAUCAAUUUUCUUGGGUGGAAAAGAAUCAAGAGAUGGAUAUCAAAUCUUUGACAAGCAGAGAGACCCAUUUGAGUUCUCAAUCGUCGAACCAGAUCUUCGUUGGUACCCAGGGAACAAGUCUCACCUUCUGCUAGUGCUCUCCUUGGAAGUCUUUGAAGGAACCUUGAUGAUGACAUUGCCAGCCAGUCUCGUCGGCAGGGCAGAGCUCAAGACUGGUGGCAGUAACCAGUGGCAGUCGCUUCAGACCUAUGUGGCCAUUGCACAUCACUUGGUCUUGAGAGGAACUGGCAUCAGGCUCCGCUUGGAUGUCGCUGACUGCAACAGCGCAAUGCGCCGGCUCUUUUACCAGGGUGGUCCAAGCCAUGCCACAAGCUUAUCCAUCACCGUAAACGACCUGGGGAACUAUGGGUGCUACCCAGAUUGUUCAGAGAUGAUGUCAAGGCCAUUGCAAGCAGAGAAGACUGUCCAGCUGAGCAAAAGGAAAGCAAUGAACUCAACAAGAGCCAUCUUGACCGGAUCGGCAAUCGCAAUCGAGAUCCUGGCAAUGCUGUGCCUUGGCGGGGUUCUCCUGUAUUUCCUUGUGAAAUGCAUGUGUGCCCUGAGGAUUGAACGAACAAGAGGCCGCCCCGGCAAUGAAGUUCGCACAUCAGAACGAACCAUGUCCCAUCAACUUAUGAGUUCGUCACCCUCGGAUGAUGCUGGAUAUAGCUCUGCACCUGCAGCGGUGCUCUCCAUGGGUGGAAACAGAUCGGGUUUUAGGCAGCGGUCUUGUAGGUCAUGGAAGCAGCAAGAACUGGAAAUGCAGCAGUUAUCUGGGAUCAGAAACGAUGGAAACCAAGAUGAUCAGCCUGUCGUAGACAAGGACAAGGGGCUGUUUAUAGGGUAG